GACAAUUUGAAAUAGCUUUGAAGAGGCUUAGAAUUGGAAAUUUUCAUUUUGGAAAGAAUUUAAAAAUCUGGAAAAUUUUGGCUAAGUAUGGAAAAAUGUGAAUUUUUGGCCAACUUUGAACAACCAUAAAUUCUAGCUCAGGAUGAUUUAGGUGGAGUUCCAGUUAUGGUUGCAAAGUUCGUGGAACGAUCUUUCCAACGCCACCGAGUUUGCUCGAUUCCGAGUUCGUAUGAGCGAGUUAUGGCCAUUGAAAGUUGGGCAGCUGGCAGGGAAUCCGUCCGGAAAUUUUAAGGGCAUUUUGGUCUUUUCCCUAGCCAUUUCUUUUGGGAUUAUAUUGUUGUAUUAGGCUGAUCUUUGGAUCAUUUUGUCCCAUUUUGAAAGAUAAAGAGUUAGGGUUCUUGAGAGUGAAGAAGAGAAGAAGAAG
rnacentral:lncRNA from 1 species